rnacentral:rRNA from 1 species
AGACAGCAGCCGCCGCGGGAAUACGUAGGUCCCGAGCGUUGUCCGGAUUUAUUGGGCGUAAAGGGAGCGCAGGCGGUUUAGUAAGUCUGAAGUUAAAGGCAUUGGCUCAACCAAUGUAUGCUUUGGAAACUGUUAGACUUGAGUGCAGAAGGGGAGAGUGGAAUUCCAUGUGUAGCGGUGAAAUGCGUAGAUAUAUGGAGGAACACCGGUGGCGAAAGCGGCUCUCUGGUCUGUCACUGACGCUGAGGCUCGAAAGCGUGGGUAGCGAACAGGAUUAGAGACCCCAGUAGUCCCUGUCUCUUAUACA